UACGUAGGGUGCGAGCGUUAAUCGGAAUUACUGGGCGUAAAGCGUGCGUAGGCGGCUAUGCAAGACAGAUGUGAAAUCCCUGGGCUUAACCUAGGAACUGCAUUUGUGACUGCAUAGCUAGAGUGUGGUAGAGGGAGAUGGAAUUCCGCAUGUAGCAGUGAAAUGCGUAGAUAUGCGGAGGAACACCAAUGGCGAAGGCAAUCUCCUGGACCUGCACUGACGCUCAUGCACGAAAGCGUGGGGAGCAAACAGG
rnacentral:rRNA from 1 species